UUUUUUUUUUUUUUUUUUUUUUUUCCUUUCCAAAUUGUAUGGUUUGGUUCAUAUGUUCAAACUGUUCCAGCGAUCAUGGCGGACGGGAGGCAGGACUAGACUGCAGCUUCAGACAGAGCAGCAUGCGGAGGCUCACGUUGUGAAUUUUAGCUCCAGAUUGACUGCAGGAACAAACCAGAAAUGCCGAGAGGAACCACAGACCCUCUGAAGGAAAUGGACUGCUCCUGCAGAACCCAGGAAAUACCCCAAAUACUGUGAGUCCCCCAACUGCGGAAGUGGGAAAGGGAGACCUUCCUCUCCCUAACACACACCCCCACUGGAGAAGCUGAAGGUCUGUUUGUGGGAGAAGUUUCCGACUUUACCUGGGGCUGAGUCAAGUUAGAGAGUAGAGCGAAAUACAGGGGUAGAGGAAGGAGCAGAAAGGCCCUGGGAGCUCCCUGGGUCCCCAAGCAGCCCAUUCCUGCCUGGCACCACAGGGAUGGAUCCAUGGGGAGGAUGGCCAGAGGAGCAGGGGAUAAAACUCCACAGGGAGAAGGAAUUCCCUAGCUGAACUUUGUAACAAUUUGAAUAGGCAUGAGAAGCUUCCUGGCCAGAACUCGGGGGAGGGAGCAAAUCUUGUGUGCAGACUUCACAGUUGGGGGAAGAAAGCUCUUUUCUUUUGCAGCUGGGAAGCAGAUAGCCUCAGGCAAGUUUUCAAGCUGGUCUAGCCCUCCACCUGGAAACAGACUUGGGGCUGUUGCUGGGGGCACAGUGGGAGUGAGACCAGCCCUUCAGUUUGCACAGGAGCUGGGUAAGGCCUGUGACUGCCAGCUUUCCUCUACUUUUCUGACAGCUUGCAUGACUCAGCAGAGGCAGCCAUAAUCCUACUAGGUACACAACUCCAGUGACCUGGGACUCUCAUGCCUAACCUCCACAGCAGUUGAAGCAAGACCCACCCACGGAAAGUCUGAGCUCAGACAUGCCUAGCCCUGCCCCCAUCUGCUGGUCCUUCCCUACCCACCCUGGUAGCAGAAGACAAAGGGCAUAUAAUCUUGGGAGUUUUAGGGCCCCGCCCACCACCCAUCUCUCUUCACACUACUACAGCUGAUGCUUUCUGGAAAGCGUCAUUCCUGGCAGGAGGUCAACCUGCACUAAAAUAGAGCAUUAAACCACCAAAGCUAAGAGUUCUCUUAGAAUUCAUUCAUCGCACCUCUGCCACCUCCACUGGAACAGACCCUGGUAUCCACAGCUGAGAGACCCACAGAUGGUUCACAUCACAGGACUCUGUGCAUACAACCACCAGUACCAGACUCGCUGCAUGGCUAGACCCAGAAGAGAGACAACAACCACUAUAGUUUGGCUCACAGGAAGCCACAUCCAUAGGGAAAGGGCAAGGGUACUACAUCAAGGGAACACCCUGUGGGACAAAAGAAUCUGAACAACAGCCUUCAGCCCUAGACGUUCCCUCUAACCGAGCCUACCCAAAUGAGAAAGAACCAGAAAAACAACCCUG
rnacentral:lncRNA from 1 species